CCUACGGGUGGCAGCAGUCGAGAAUCAUUCACAAUGGGGGAAACCCUGAUGCUGCGACGCCGCGUGGGGGAAUGAAGGUCUUCGGAUUGUAAACCCCUGUCAUGUGGGAGCAAAUUAAAAAGAUAGUACCCCAAGGGGAGGAUACGGCUAACGCGGUGCCAGCAGCCGCGGUAAUACAGCGGUCUCAAGCGUUGUUCGGAAUCACUGGGCGUAACGGGUGCGUAGGCUGUUUGGUAAGUCGGGUGUGAAAGGCGCGGGCUCAACCCGCGGACGGCACAUGAUACUGGGGGACUAGAUUACGGGAGGGGGAAACGGAAGUCUCGGUGUAGCAGUGAAAUGCGUAGAUAUCGAGAGGAACACUGGUGGCGAAGGCGGGUUCCUGGACCGUAACUGACGCUGAGGCACGAAGGCCAGGGGAGCGAAAGGGAUUAGAUACCCGAGUAGUC
rnacentral:rRNA from 1 species